rnacentral:rRNA from 2 species
GGAUGCGAUCAUACUAGCACUAAAGCACCGGAUCCCAUUAGAACUCCGAAGUUAAGCGUGCUUGGGCGAGAGUAGUACUAGGAUGGGUGACCUCCUGGAAGUCCUCGUGUUGCAUUCA